AUGGCUUUAUUUUCAGCUGGGAAACGAAUGGGAAAUGGAAGCCCAGUCCUGGAAGGGACCACAGGCUCAGAUCCCAGCAGUCUGCCAGCAAAGACAAUGUUGCUGUUGGUCUCUCACCAACAUGGACAAACACUUGGAGCACACUCAACCAAGACACCAGAUGUUUUAGAACAAAGCAUCAUCAAGCCAAGUCAGCAGUGGCAGAGGCCUGUUCAGAAGAGUCAGCCACAUGUCAUGGUGGCUCAUGGCCUAAGAAGGAUUGCAAAGGCAAGGCUGGCUCGAGCACAGAGUGCUGGAAGUUGCUGUGAUUGUACUGCAGAUGUGACGUGGGGACCUGGUGUGUGUCACGACCUUUCCACGCUGGAGUUUUUGCAAAUGACAUUGGGUCCACUUGACCCAGAGUUUUUUGUUGGUGAAGCUUACUGCCGUGCUCCAGACGUGCUUCUGAAACUUUUUGCUGAGGCUCUG
rnacentral:lncRNA from 1 species